GGUUCUCUGGGAUGUUUGACAGAAAGCUUAGUCCCCGAGCCGAUAAUACCUUUUUAGGUUUUCAUUUUCGGCGCUAUUGCGCAAGCUCGACCCUUUUGGGAAAUCGAGAAGCCUACGGCACCGUCAUGCGAGCCGCCUUGAACAUUUCGGUUGUUCAAGGGUCUUGUUUUCAUCGGCAUCCUGGGAACCAC
rnacentral:other from 1 species